rnacentral:tmRNA from 2 species
GGGGCUGAUUCUGGAUUCGACGGGAUUUGCGAAACCCAAGGUGCAUGCCGAGGGGCGGUUGGCCUCGUAAAAAGCCGCAAAAAAUAGUCGCAAACGACGAAAACUACGCUUUAGCAGCUUAAUAACCUGCUUAGAGCCCUCUCUCCCUAGCCUCCGCUCUUAGGACGGGGAUCAAGAGAGGUCAAACCCAAAAGAGAUCGCGUGGAAGCCCUGCCUGGGGUUGAAGCGUUAAAACUUAAUCAGGCUAGUUUGUUAGUGGCGUGUCCGUCCGCAGCUGGCAAGCGAAUGUAAAGACUGACUAAGCAUGUAGUACCGAGGAUGUAGGAAUUUCGGACGCGGGUUCAACUCCCGCCAGCUCCA